rnacentral:rRNA from 1 species
GCAUCCAUGCGAGCUGCAGCUGACGAGCAGGACUGCACAGUUCGCUAUGCAGUCAGGCAUGCUGCAACCUCGAUGGAAGCCUAAAGCUUCCACAGCAGCAGAAUCUGUGCCAUGGACUAUGGUACGUAAGGAGGAUGAUCCGCGGCUUGUCGUGAGUGGUAUCGAGGAGCCCUGAUGAUGAUGCACUGCAUGCAGUGAACAUGGGAACUCCCGAUAAGGAGGUGGUGAGCGCGGCAGCCUUUGCUAAGAUAAGUCGGCCCGCGGGAACCCUGGGAGCCCAGCGGCUCAUCACGCCUGCCCGCCAAACGUUCCGUAGGUGAACCUGCGAAAGAAUCAUUA